AGGUGAGUUGGAGUCCCACUUCUAGUGAGCCGUUGGAUCGACUGGGUCUGAAUUCAGAAUGAAAAUAUUUUUGUCAUGCGUGCUGCUGUGUGCCACCAUCUGCUUAGCUGACAGAGGUGUUCAAAAUGGCAUGAGAGCAACAGAAGGAUCCAAGCCAGUGUCCCUUCAGCCCUGGCUACUCGGCCUGACAGCUGUUGUUGGUUUCCUUCUCCUUGUCUUCAUUAUUCUGGUUAUUCAAAGACUACUUAAGAAAAGGGAGGAUGGUUAUGACAAGCCAGCAGGGGCGGAUGAAGCUGAAACUCAUCAAACCAGUCUGUAGCUGUUCAUGACCAACUGAAGAGCACGAUUCUGCUAAAUCACACUCACUCACUUGUUUUUAUCAUGGCCAUAUUUAGUGAAUAUUGCUAUAAAUAUAAGAGUUUUUAAGUUGAUGGUUGAGCAAAUAUCAGAAUAUAUCACCAAAGACAAAAAGUGUUUCUGCACCGUUUCUCACAAAACGUGUCUGUGAGCUAAAUAAAGAGUUGCUGUAUUUUCCAGCGAGAGGAAAAACACAUUCCUGUGCAACACUGACAGAUGGAGAAAGAUAGGAUGAUGUCCUAAUUCAUUUUAAAGUUAUUUUAUAUCAAAUAUUUGAUCAAUAUAGAAUCCGUUGCUGAAUUAUAAAUUAUGUUAAACGUCUUACAAAACAAAUUAAGUUUUGAUUUGUGUUGUAUUUGCAACAUCAGGCAUUUAUUUGCUUUUUGUUCUUUAAAAAUAAAUGUUGCAAUUUACUUUUUUUUUCUUUUUACAAAUCAAAUAUGGUACAUUUAGUUUUAAAGGGUUAUAUUUACAAUGAUGCAUUAGGUCUGGUUGGUUACUGGUUUACUGGUUAACCAGAGCUACUGGAGCUCACACCUGACCUACCAAAUCCCACUGCCUCAUAUGUUAAUCAAGAAUAAAUGAAAGAAGAAGAAAUGGUGUGAUUAUGUUUUUUAUGUCUUUUUUUUUUUUUACAAUAUCAUCUUUUUAUUUUCUUAUGCAUCCCUACUGAAAGCUGUGAUUUUAAAUAAUUUGUAUCCUACAUAAAUGUAUUUGAGCAAAUUUAUGCAAAAGCAAAAAUAACUAUCUAAGCAACCCAAUCUUACAAAAGACAAAACUUCUAUAAAUAUUUGCCCACUUAGUGACUUCUUAUUCUUUUUUCAUAUUUGCCACAUUUCCAUGACCUGUUGAUCAAGAAUCAAAAAAAUGGUUUCAGGUUGCUUUGCUGCUUCAGUACCCGGAUGACUUGCUGUAAAUAAUGGAACCAUGAAUUCUGCUCUUUACCAGGAAAUCCUGAAGGAGAAUAUCUGGGCUUCAGUUCAUGCCCCGAAGCUUAAGACAAUGAUCCAAAAUACACCAGCAAGUCAACCUCCAAAAGACUCCAACGUGACUAAAUAAAAACAUUUUGGCAAAGAAUAGUGGUUCCACAUUUUUCCAAAAUGAUGUGAAAGACUCAUCGCCAGUUAGCACAAAUGCUUAAUUGCAGUUUGUGCUGCCAAAGGUGGCACAAGACAUUAUUAGAUUUAGGGGCAGGUACUUUUUCACAGCACUGCAUGUGUGUUAAUGUCAAUGCCAGCAAUAUACCCGACAUCCCUAAAUACAGCAAUUUAAAACAAUAAAUAAAUAGAAAAAACCCUCAACAACAAAUAAAAUAAGUCUCUUUCCAGCAUUUAUGCCACUGAUAUAUAAACAAGCCUCAUCCACAGAAAAAACCACUUUUGCACAGAAAUGCAAUUGCAGAUGGACACAGAAGUAUAUGUAGGAAGGUAAACUCAAAAAGUUACUGUAGAGAAGCUGAAUCUGUUAAAGUUUGUUAACCAGUAACUUCAGCUACAAACCACAACAGUGAGCUUCCUGUUCCUACUGCAAACUCAGUUACUCAUGCAGCACGGUCAUCUAUGCACAUUAUAUAUCUCUAAUCCAUAAAUAACUAUUUUUAUUCACCAGAUCAAUCGAUCCAUUGACAGGACUGUGAAACUUCUCCUUUUUCUUUGAACCGCUCCUCCUCAUCACAGUCACCAUAGCGGGGAAAAAAUGGUAAGAGGGCACAAUGGUGGCAGGAGUGGACCAGUGGGAGCUAAAAAUGUGUUGUGGAUGCUGGCAGAUCCCCCCGAAGAGGAAGAGGUGUUUGAAAACCUUCAGUUCAGGGUCGGGGGGGCAGGAGCCUAUCCCAGCUGUCACAGGGCAAGAGGCGAGGUUGACCUUGGGAAGUUGCUAGCCUGUUGCAUGCAUGUCUUUGAGAGGAAGCUAGAUGGACAUGACCUGGUAGACAUGGGGAAAACAGACAAACUCCACAGAGAAAAGCCCCAGAACCUUCCUGCUGAGUGCUAACCACCACACCAACAUGCCACCCCACUGUAUAAAUAAAUCAAAAGCUGUCUGAACUUCACUA